rnacentral:rRNA from 1 species
AAUGAACGCUGGCGGCAUGCCUUACACAUGCAAGUCGAACGGCAGCAUGACCUAGCUUGCUAGGUUGAUGGUGAGUGGCGAACGGGUGAGUAAUGCAUCGGAACGUGCCUUUUAGUGGGGGAUAACGUAGCGAAAGUUACGCUAAUACCGCAUAUUCUCUGAGGAGGAAAGCAGGGGGCCUUCGGGCCUUGCGCUAGAAGAGCGGCCGAUGUCGGAUUAGCUAGUUGGUGAGGUAAAGGCUCACCAAGGCAACGAUCCGUAGCGGGUCUGAGAGGAUGAUCCGCCACACUGGGACUGAGACACGGCCCAGACUCCUACGGGAGGCAGCAGUGGGGAAUUUUGGACAAUGGGCGCAAGCCUGAUCCAGCCAUGCCGCGUGAGUGAAGAAGGCCUUCGGGUUGUAAAGCUCUUUCGGCUGGGAAGAAAUCGCACUCUCUAAUACAGGGUGUGGAUGACGGUACCAGCAUAAGAAGCACCGGCUAACUACGUG